rnacentral:rRNA from 1 species
AUUGAACGCUGGCGGCAGGCCUAACACAUGCAAGUCGAGCGGAUGAAGGGAGCUUGCUCCUGGAUUCAGCGGCGGACGGGUGAGUAAUGCCUAGGAAUCUGCCUGGUAGUGGGGGAUAACGUCCGGAAACGGGCGCUAAUACCGCAUACGUCCUGAGGGAGAAAGUGGGGGAUCUUCGGACCUCACGCUAUCAGAUGAGCCUAGGUCGGAUUAGCCAGUUGGUGGGGUAAAGGCCUACCAAGGCGACGAUCCGUAACUGGUCUGAGAGGAUGAUCAGUCACACUGGAACUGAGACACGGUCCAGACUCCUACGGGAGGCAGCAGUGGGGAAUAUUGGACAAUGGGCGAAAGCCUGAUCCAGCCAUGCCGCGUGUGUGAAGAAGGUCUUCGGAUUGUAAAGCACUUUAAGUUGGGAGGAAGGGCAGUAAGUUAAUACCUUGCUGUUUUGACGUUACCAACAGAAUAAGCACCGGCUAACUUCAUG